rfam:Salmo salar isolate Sally breed double haploid chromosome ssa13, whole genome shotgun sequence.
UGGAUGCAUGACUGUAAGUCACUUUGGAUUAAAGUGUCUGCAAAAUGGUAUUUA